rfam:Desulfofustis glycolicus DSM 9705 genome assembly, contig: EJ46DRAFT_scaffold00034.34
GGGGGCGAAACGGAUUCGACGGGGAUGUGUAAGCUCACUGUUGCAUGCCGAGCUUCUACUGGCUCGUAAAACUGGUAGAACUUAAAUAUAAUCGCAGACGAUUAUAACUACGCAGUAGCAGCUUAACCGCUGUCAUACUGCCGUCCCACCGGCUUUCGCCCGUAAGGCCGGAUUCGGGGCGUCGACUCAACGGGCUGGUUCCCCGGUGGCCGCCUGUCCACCGGGGAACGAGAUCCAACAGGCUGGCACCGGGAAAUCUAUGUUCCGACUGAGUUCCCGAGGCGAGAUCAAAGCACGGAACUAAGCAUGUAGAUACGGGAGGGGAGCAUUUCCGGACGCGGGUUCGACUCCCGCCGCCUCCACCA